ensembl:lncRNA
CCUCCGUCCUCUCGCACUUCUGGAGCGCCUUCCUCCUCCUCUUCCUCCUCCUCCUCCUCCUCCUCCUCUUCCUCUUCGUUAGCGAGAGGUCCGUCUGGGCCCCUGUGCCCGCCCCGCUCCCUGUUGCCGAGCGCCAACUCAUCACAGCCCCUGUCUCUGGUCACCAAACCUCUGGACUGACUCUGCACUUGCUCCUCUCCUCUUCUGAUGUUCUUACAUUCAUCCCUUUCUCUUUACUUUCUCUUCAAUCCUUUCUUUUGUUUGUUGGUUUUGUCCUCUUUUCCUUGCUUGUGCCAAGAGGCUUUGGAUAGUAGAGCACUUUUUUUUUGUUAUUUUUCUCUUUUUUUAAUUAAUUAAUCAAACUUCAUUGGUCAAUAUUUGACCCUUCAUUAUCUUAAGAAAAAGGAAUUCUAUAAUGUAACGAGGAGAGAAAACUUACGAUGCAUUUGUAGAGUAUAGUGUCAAUCUGCCAAAAUUUGUAUAAUUUUUUUUUGUCUGUACAACAGAAAAUGAAUAGUUGUUAACGUAGUCGGGCAUAGACGUGUUUAAAACAGACCUAUAAAGCAUAAAGUAGGAGAUUUAAGAAGGGCGCGCUUUUCUGAGAGAGCAGCCCGGUCUAUUUGUUUGUAUGAAAUACGAGCCAGCGAACCAAUCAUUUUACACCUCUUUAAAAGAUGGAGGGCACAAGGACCCUGGGGAGCGUUCUCCAGCAGAGGACCUUCUUCCAGAGCUGUGUGAUGAUGUUACUCUCUCUUCUUUAAAUGUACAGAAAUGCGGGGAAGGGGGGUUCUGUGUUAAUAUGCAUUGUUCCAUUGCGUUGUUUAUUUUAUUUGACAUCUUUGGCUGUUUACCUGGGGGCCUCGGGCGUGGAGAUUGAAGUGGGUGGGGGGGAAAGGGACCUGUUUAGAUGGGGUUCGGGGGUGGGGUGGGGUGGGGGGGGGGGCAGGUUGCGGGUAUUCAAUAUGAACUGUCACAAGUUAGGACCAGUAGUAUUUAUUACUUUAGAGAAUGCUUGUUGUAUCUUGUAUGUUGUCCCUUUUCCAAUACCUUUUGUCUUUUUUUUCUUUUCUUUCUAAAAGAUAUGUGCGAGUGAUAUAUAUAUAUUAAUAUAUAUAUACACACAGACACAGAUACAGACACUAUACGUUCAUGCACACACGAGUACAUGCUGAUUUCAUUUUUCUAUAAGGUUGGAGCCAUGUACCAUACCAUGUUUGGGAGCUUUUUUUUUUGUCCAUCUGACAUCCUGGAGUCCACUACGGGGAGGGCUUCUCCGAGCGGCGGGCCUCCUCCUGCACCACCAUGUAAACACUAGAAGCCAUUCUACUACACUAGACUAAAAGAACAGAACACUUUGACACAGCGAUGGGAUGGCGGGUUUGGUUUUGGUGUCUCCAGUAGUUGGCGAAGAGUUUCAAAGCCCUUGUUUUUUCUAUGAUACAGUCUCACAUCUCAAGGACUGUAGAAUUGUGUACAGAUUUUUUCCGUGCCAAAAUUUUGUGAUAAUUUCACACACACCCCCUUCUGAUGCGCUAGGGUUUCCCUACCCUUUCUCGUUGUUGUCGUCGAUUUUUUUUUUUUUUUGGUUUGUUUCGUUUUCUCUUUUUUUUUUUUUUUACCAUACUUUGCUGUGACGUUACAUAGAUUGCUAUGUAUGUAGUAUAAAUGUUGCUAUAACAAAUGUGUUUGGUAGCAGAUUGUCAAAUAUUAAAAUUUUAAAACGGAAUAAAAACACCUGGCAUCACACAGUACUAACCUUGAAGGGCCAAAUGUGUGUAUAGUAGGAGGGUCAUUAAAACUGUUGAAUAAAGAAGUAAACACAUACAGACUGCCACUUUUAAAUACACUACUACAUAUAGGUAGAUAGACAAACCGGCAUGUUGAUGUUGUAAGAAGCUGUUUUAAAAAAAAAAAGAGAAAAAAAAAAAAAAAGCUACAAGAGAAUCAUCCAUUGGGUGCCAUAGUAACAUGACUGUGACAUCACGCGGCUGUAAGCUCCAUCCUCCGCUUCCCCCCCACACGCUAAAAGACCAGUCCUUUUGAAUGUUUCCUUAACGGCUGUGAUGUUUAAUGCUCUUCUCCCUUCUUUUCUUUUCUUUUCUUUACCUUUUUCUUUUCAUUUUGGGUUUUUGUUUGUAUAUUUCUCUGUUUUUAUUUUUGUUUUUCAUCAUUGGAGAUGUUUUUUGUAAUGAAUAAAUGUUUAUGCUGUACAGUCUCUGUAGCAUGCGGUCCUGUAUUAAUAAAAGGCUUAGUAUGUGACAUCGUCUUCGACUCUUUCUCCUACCCACAGCAGCCCACCGCCAUAUAAAGGGACCCCCGUGGGACUAAACAUCAUGUUACAUUCAUCAUUUUGUUGUGGAAAUAAAUAUAAACUUAAUAUCUUUAGGGUUGUGGAAAUACAUAUAAAAUAAAAUAAAAAAAACUAAACCAAUGGGAAUAAACAUGACAUUUAUGGGAAUAAAAAGCUUUUGUGACAAAAAAAAAAAAAACUAAUCUGAGCCUCCGCCACCGCAUUCCCUCUCUGGCGCUGUGGGCUUUAGUUUGCAGCGUAUCUGGCCUGGGUUUGACCCUGAUCAGCAGAGUUCUAUAAUCUGGCCUGGGUUUGACCCUGAUCAGCAGGGUUCUAUAAUCUGGCCUGGGUUUGACCCUGAUCAGCAGGGUUCUAUAAUCUGGCCUGGGUUUGACCCUGAUCAGCA